CCUACGGGAGGCAGCAGUGGGGAAUAUUGGACAAUGGGGGAAACCCUGAUGCAGCGACGCCGCGUGAAGGAAGAAGUAUUUCGGUAUGUAAAAUUCUAUUAGCAGGGAAGCAAAUGACGGUACCUGACUAAGAAGCCCCGGCUAACUACGUGCCAGCAGCCGCGGUAAUACGUAGGGGGCCAGCGUGAUCCGGAUUUACUGGGUGUAAAGGGAGCGUAGGCGGGGAUGCAAGUCAGGAGUGAAAGGCCGGGGUUCAACUCCUGGACUGCCUUUGAAACUGUGUUUCUAGAGUGCAGGAGAGGUAAGUGGAAUUCCUAGUGUAGCGGUGAAAUGCGUAGAUAUUAGGAGGAACACCAGUGGCGAAGGCGGCUUACUGGACUGUAAAUGACGCUGAGGCUCGAAAGCGUGGGGAGCGAACAGGAUUAGAUACCCCGGUAGUC
rnacentral:rRNA from 1 species